rnacentral:rRNA from 1 species
AGCGAACGCUGGCGGCAGGCUUAACACAUGCAAGUCGAACGGGCACUUCGGUGCUAGUGGCAGACGGGUGAGUAACACGUGGGAACGUACCUUUCGGUUCGGAAUAAUACAGGGAAACUUGUACUAAUACCGGAUACGCCCUUCGGGGGAAAGAUUUAUCGCCGAUAGAUCGGCCCGCGUCUGAUUAGCUAGUUGGUGAGGUAAUGGCUCACCAAGGCGACGAUCAGUAGCUGGUCUGAGAGGAUGAUCAGCCACACUGGGACUGAGACACGGCCCAGACUCCUACGGGAGGCAGCAGUGGGGAAUAUUGGACAAUGGGCGAAAGCCUGAUCCAGCCAUGCCGCGUGAGUGAUGAAGGCCUUAGGGUUGUAGAGCUCUUUUGUCCGGGAAGAUAAUGACUGUACCGGAAGAAUAAGCCCCGGCUAACUUCGUGCCAGCAGCCGCGGUAA